rnacentral:lncRNA from 1 species
CAAACCAUAUUUUAAUAAAAAAAUAAAAAAAUGAAAGGUGCUGAGUGAAAACUUUACCUAUCGGUUGUCAUACCAACCGAUGUAAUAGGUAGUAAUUUUUUAAAAUAAAAUUAAAAAGCAUAGUUGUUGGAAAUCAAAGACGUGUUCCGUUGAAACUUUUCACAUCCGCUGAUAGCUUAAAUGAGGGAAUAUGUACUCUUUUUUAAAUAAAU